AUGCACAUUUCAUUGACCUGCUUUCUUCAUAGGUGAGCGGUGUUAUUUCUUAUGUGCUACACAAAUAGGUGAAGGUUAAUUAGCAGUAUAACUAUCAACAGUAAUGCUGCCCGUCUCCUUCAGACCAGU
ensembl:snoRNA